ensembl:lncRNA
GUGACAGUUGACAAUGUUGCCGCUGCAACUGAAAACCCUUUCAGAAGGGGAACUGGUUGCUGGUGCGCGAAGGUACUUUUUUGCCAGGAGGCUCAGUGCUGGAAAAAUAUCGGCAUGCAUCUUCCACCAUUGGAGAGGAUCUGUGUCGUGGUCGAUGAUAGCUGACUGGAUGUAUUGGACCCUGAAACGUAGAUCCGAAAGUGACGCCAUAUCCAGAAGGUCACUUGUGUCUGGGAGACUUGAAUUGAAGAGGUGUAGCACAGGCCUGACGUAGGAGAGGGUGACAUACUCUUCACCGGAGAGAGCGUCUGUGAAGUCAUGAAGUCAGGACUUUCUGGACUGCCUGCAGGACCUCUACGUCCUGCCAGUUAAGGACAUGAUGUCUCGACUUCUUGUCAGCAAACAGGACUUUGGAGAGGGCUGCCUUUUGCUCCAGGACCCUGCUGAUCAUCUGCUGUCUCGAUCCCCAACGUGUGGCUGACUCUGUGAUGAGCUAGUGAGUCGGUAGACCCAGCUGAAUCUGCACCUCAGCCAAUUCUCUCCUCCGUUUCCAGCUAUAGGAAAAGCUGCUGACUAUUUUCUUGCACAGCGCAAUGCACCUUGUGAUGCGGUG